GUUGCUUCCAGAAAUGUUUUAAAGCUCAAGGUAAUUUAGAAGUUGAGAAAUAAGAUAAAUUAAGAUUUUACAUUUUAUUUUCAAGUGGUGUAAAAGGAGAAAGGUGAAGGGCUUUUUUUAAAUUAAGGUAGUGGAUGACAGCUGAAGAAACUGCUGCUUUUGUCUAAAGAUGGCUCUCUUCCUUUACUCAGAAAAGAAGAAUUGUAGCUGUAUGAAAUGGAAAUGAAAUGUGGAUUUCAAAUGCAACUGUGCAAAUUCAUGAAAUGAGAAGUCUAUCUGAAGCUAUUAGGAAAUGACAUUAUGGAACACAGAACCACACUGAGCAAGCUGUUCCAAACACAAAGGGAUUUAUCCUGUGCAUAGGGAAGUGAGAAGUUGGAGGGGCAAAUAAGAUCUCCUAAUUUCCAUGUUUCUUCUGUUUGUUGGAGCUGCUGCUUUGCUGGCUCUGCAGUACCUCCAACCAUGGUCACCACUGAUCUUCCUUUGUCCAGCCACAGGAAUUUCAUUCUGUGAAUGA
rnacentral:lncRNA from 1 species